rnacentral:miRNA from 1 species
ACUUUGAAUCUUUGAUUUGAA